AGCGAACGCUGGCGGCAGGCCUAAAACAUGCAAGUCGAACGCCGUAGCAAUACGGAGCGGCAGACGGGUGAGUAACACGUGGGAACGUACCCUUUGGUUCGGAACAACACAGGGAAACUUGUGCUAAUACCGGAUAAGCCCUUACGGGGAAAGAUUUAUCGCCGAAGGAUCGGCCCGCGUCUGAUUAGCUAGUUGGUGGGGUAACGGCCCACCAAGGCUACGAUCAGUAGCUGGUCUGAGAGGAUGAUCAGCCACACUGGACUGAGACACGGCCCAGACUCCUACGGGAGGCAGCAGUGGGGAAUAUUGGACAAUGGGCGCAAGCCUGAUCCAGCCAUGCCGCGUGAGUGAUGAAGGCCCUAGGGUUGUAAAGCUCUUUCAGCGGGGAAGAUAAUGACGGUACCAGCAGAAGAAGCCCCGGCUAACUCCGUGCCAGCAGCCGCGGUAAUAC
rnacentral:rRNA from 1 species